rnacentral:rRNA from 1 species
GAUGAACGCUGGCGGCGUGCUUAACACAUGCAAGUCGAACGAAGCACUUCAAUCGAUUUCUUCGGAAUGAAGUUUUAGUGACUGAGUGGCGGACGGGUGAGUAACGCGUGGGUAACCUGCCUCACACAGGGGGAUAACAGUUGGAAACGGCUGCUAAUACCGCAUAAGCGCACAGUACCGCAUGGUACAGUGCGAAAAACUCCGGUGGUGUGAGAUGGACCCGCGUCUGAUUAGCUAGUUGGCAGGGCAACGGCCUACCAAGGCGACGAUCAGUAGCCGACCUGAGAGGGUGACCGGCCACAUUGGGACUGAGACACGGCCCAAACUCCUACGGGAGCAGCAGUGGGGGA